UCGAUAUCUUAAUGAUAUAUAAAAUUGAAAAUUCAAUGCAAUAUGAUUAAUCCAUAAUAAUAAUCGUUAACAAUAUUUUUGAUAAUAAAUUUGAAGAAGAAACAGAAAUUUUCAUCUAUUAUAAAUAUCUUAACAAUUAUCGAUAUAUCGAAUCAUCGAUAAUCAUUCUGAAUUAUAAUUCAAUACUAAAUAAUAGUAAUAAAAUCGACAUUAAUAAUGAACUAAAAAUCUAAGACCAAAAACAAAGAACAUCGAAGCGUCAAAGAGACAAACAAAUUAUUCAGUCGGUCGGAAACAUCGUGAAUUUCCAUAGCAGCAUUGGACGCGACCAUUGAACACGGAUCGUCGAUCGAGUCGUCUACGAAGAGAGUGGGUCAAGGUGGCUGUCUUCGUGAUCUCCUUAGUUCCGCGUUCUACUGGCGGGUUUCGUUCAUUCGUUUAUUCGGUGAAUAUGGAUAGUGUGUGCAUCGACAUGUAUACACGCGUGUUCCUUCACUUAUAUGUAUGUGCGACACAAUUGUAUGUAGGUACGGAUAUAACCUAUGUGCCGCGUCAUCAACCACUGCGAACCUACACCGUCAUCAGAAGCGAAAGAUGCUGGCGUCGCCAAAUCUUCCCUUUCUCCACCUUCUAUACGCGGCGAGAGUAAACGUGACGUCACUAGCUUAAAGCUGCUAGACGAAAUGAGAAAAACCGAUUGAUUCGUUCUUUUCGUUUCGUUUACCUUCGUACUCUCCUUACUCGGAAUCUAUAUAAGUGAUCAAGAAUCUUAGAUUCAAUGAAGGAAUGAAUUAUUGUUAUUAUUGGUACUGUUAUUAAUGGCUGCAUACAUUCUUGAAGCAUUUUGAAGGAAUUGUUAUUUUUGUGAUCUUUUCUUAGACUUUAAUCCGAGGCCUAACCUAAAUAUUGUGAGUGAUCUAAUCUAACUUAACCUAAAUAUAAUAGAUUCCAAUAAAGUUGCAUAAAAACUAUUUUGAUCUAAUUUCGAUGAUUUUUAAAUGUGUCAUAGAAGAUAACUUUUUCUCUUAGUUUUUGAGAUAUUACAGAAAAAAAUUAUUAUUAUUAUUAUAAAUAUCUAUGACCGCAUAUUAUAAUAUCUUUAUGCAUUGUUAUAUAUAAUCAAUGAAAUGACAUCAUACCACCAACAUAGCAAUGCAAACAUAAGAACAAUCUUGAUACUAUCAUACGUGUGUGGUCUGUGAUAAUUUAUAAUCGUGAUAUCAAUCCCUCGAAAGAAAUAUGAUUAAUAGUUGUAAACAAGAUGUAAGAAAACGAUUCAUUAUACACUGGAAACAUUUUAACAUCUUCUACCUUCUAGAAGAUUCGAAACCUUUAUAUAAGAUCCAAGACUCGUAUACACACUUGCCACUGUUUAUCUAAAAUUUACCGAUACACAAAAGGUAGGUGAACGAGAUGAUGCACGUACAGAACAGAAUCAUUAUGUACUUACAUUACAUACGACCACUGAUGGAAGAGGCAGCAGCAUCCACGUCACUCGGUAUCGCUUGCCAAUUGGCUGGGUGCUCGAAACGUUUCAUAAUGCGUUCGAAUGGAGUUAUAAAACGAGCGAAACUUGAGCCUGCAACCACUCUACAGCUCUCUUAUCUUCUCUUUUCGAAACGAUGCCAGAUGCAUAUACGUGAAUGUUGACACAUUCGGUCAACUCAUCUUCCCUUUCUUUCUUAAUAGAAGAAAUAGACAAAAAUGAAAACGAUUUGAAGAACGAAUAGAUGAUAAUUUAAAAAUAGUGAAGUUAGAAGAUAGAGAUUAUUAAAAAAUUAAACAAUUGUUCGCAUAAUUGAAUUGAUGAUUUUGGAUGUAUUUGAAACUGUAAAGCUAAAUAUUAUCUCUGUGAAAUAGAUAUGAUAUUAUAAUAUUAA